AUUGAACGCUGGCGGCAGGCCUAACACAUGCAAGUCGAGCGGAUGAAGGGAGCUUGCUCCUGGAUUCAGCGGCGGACGGGUGAGUAAUGCCUAGGAAUCUGCCUGGUAGUGGGGGAUAACGUCCGGAAACGGGCGCUAAUACCGCAUACGUCCUGAGGGAGAAAGUGGGGGAUCUUCGGACCUCACGCUAUCAGAUGAGCCUAGGUCGGAUUAGCUAGUUGGUGGGGUAAAGGCCUACCAAGGCGACGAUCCGUAACUGGACUGAGGGGAUGAUCAGUCACACUGGAACUGAGACACGGUCCAGACUCCUACGGGAGGCAGCAGUGGGGAAUAUUGGACAAUGGGCGAAAGCCUGAUCCAGCCAUGCCGCGUGUGUGAAGAAGGUCUUCGGAUUGUAAAGCACUUUAAGUUGGGAGGAAGGGCAGUAAGUUAAUACCUUGCUGCUUUGACGUUACCAACAGAAUAAGCACCGGCUAACUUCGUG
rnacentral:rRNA from 1 species